rnacentral:rRNA from 1 species
AGUGAACGCUGGCGGUAGGCCUAACACAUGCAAGUCGAACGGCAGCACAGGAGAGCUUGCUCUCUGGGUGGCGAGUGGCGGACGGGUGAGGAAUACAUCGGAAUCUACUUUUUCGUGGGGGAUAACGUAGGGAGACUUACGCUAAUGCCGCAUACGACCUACGGGUGAACGCAGGGGAUCUUCGGACCUUGCGCGAUUGAAUGAGCCGAUGUCGGAUUAGCUAGUUGGCGGGGUAAAGGCCCACCAAGGCGACGAUCCGUAGCUGGUCUGAGAGGAUGAUCAGCCACACUGGCACUGAGACACGGUCCGGACUCCAACGGGAGGCAGCAGUGGGGAAUAUUGGACAAUGGGGGCAAGCCUGAUCCAGCCAUACCGCGUGGGUGAAGAAGGCCUUCGGGUUGUAAAGCCCUUUUGUUGGGAAAGAAAUCCAUCUGGUUAAUACCCGGGUGGGAUGACGGUACCCAAAGAAUAAGCACCGGCUAACUUCGUGCCAGCCGCCGCCGUAA